GAUGGGAAACAGAGUGAUUGCCAUGGCGAUCAUAACACUGUUUGAUCCAAAAGGUACUGUACAGUUGUGAAAGCAGGAAAGACGGUGUGUGAGCUGCCGUUUAGCAGGUCAUGGAAAAACUCAUCAUCCAACCUCCUAAAAAUAAUGAAGUGCUGAAUCCAUACCUGCUCUGAGGAUAAGUAGCCACUACUUUAAGAAGACAACUACUAAAAAUGGGACCGGGAGCCGGCCGUGGGUGAAGGAGAGGUAACUGCACUCGUUACUUCAGUCAGGGUGCCAAUGUUUAGCGAGGCUCCAGCCAACGCAGACCGAGCCAGAUCUAAGGGGGAGCGGCGGGGGCAAGCAACAUGAACCGAUGCAACCUUCAGCCAAAGGUCCGGUCUCACACUGUUUUCCAACUCUGCCAUUUAUAGACGCGAUUCAAGCCUGUUUGUUAAUGUACACAGUUCACAGGCUCUAUGAUGGACAA